rnacentral:rRNA from 1 species
UAGGGAAUCUUCCGCAAUGGGCGAAAGCCUGACGGAGCAACGCCGCGUGAGAGAUGAAGGUCUUCGGAUCGUAAAACUCUGUUAUUAGGGAAGAACAAAUGUGUAAGUAACUAUGCACGUCUUGACGGUACCUAAUCAGAAAGCCACGGCUAACUACGUGCCAGCAGCCGCGGUAAUACGUAGGUGGCAAGCGUUAUCCGGAAUUAUUGGGUGUAAAGCGCGCGUAGGCGGUUUUUUAAGUCUGAUGUGAAAGCCCACGGCUCAACCGUGGAGGGUCAUUGGAAACUGGAAAACGUGAGUGCAGAAGAGGAAAGUGGAAUUCCAUGUGUAGCGGUGAAAUGCGCAGAGAUAUGGAGGAACACCAGUGGCGAAGGCGACUUUCUGGUCUGUAACUGACGCUGAUGUGCGAAAGCGUGGGGAUCAAACAGG